GCCCGGCUGCGCCCGGUGCAUUGUGGGAGUGGCCUGCGGCCGGUUUUCGGAAGGAGGCGGAGGGCGCAAAGCGAGUCGGUGGAUCCGUAAAAAACCCAGCCAACCCGCAGAGGGAGGACAGGGGCUGAGCUGUGAGGAGAGCGGGCCCCAGAACCAUGUCUACGCGGGAGUCCUUUAACCUGGAAAGUUACGAAUUGGACAAAAGCUUCCGGCUAACCAGAUUCACUGAACUGAAAGGCACAGGCUGCAAAGUGCCCCAAGAUGUCCUACAGAAAUUGCUGGAAUCUUUACAGGAGAACCACUUCCAAGAAGAUGAGCAGUUUCUGGGAGCUGUUAUGCCAAGGCUUGGCAUUGGAAUGGAUACUUGUGUCAUUCCUUUGAGGCAUGAUGGGCUUUCCUUGGUUCAAACCACAGAUUACAUUUACCCGAUCGUAGACGACCCUUACAUGAUGGGCAGGAUAGCAUGUGCCAAUGCCCUCAGUGACCUCUACGCAAUGGGGGUCACGGAAUGUGACAAUAUGCUGAUGCUCCUUGGAGUCAGUAAUAAAAUGACCGACAGGGAAAGGGAUAAAGUGAUGCCUCUGAUUAUCCAAGGUUUUAAAGACGCAGCUGAGGAAGCAGGAACAUCUGUAACGAGCGGCCAAACAGUACUAAACCCCUGGAUUGUCCUGGGAGGAGUUGCUACCACUGUCUGCCAGCCCAGUGAAUUUAUCAUGCCAGACAAUGCAGUGCCAGGGGAUGUGCUGGUGUUGACGAAACCCUUGGGGACACAGGUGGCAGUGGCUGUGCACCAGUGGCUGGAUAUUCCUGAGAAAUGGAAUAAGAUUAAGCUAGUUGUCACCCAAGAAGAUGUAGAGCUGGCCUACCAGGAGGCGAUGAUGAACAUGGCGAGGCUCAACAGGACAGCUGCAGGACUCAUGCACACAUUCAACGCCCAUGCGGCCACUGACAUCACGGGCUUCGGGAUUUUGGGCCACGCACAGAACCUGGCCAAGCAGCAGAGAAACGAGGUGUCGUUCGUCAUUCACAACCUCCUGGUGCUGGCCAAGAUGGCUGCAGUGAGCAAGGCCUGCGGAAACAUGUUCGGCCUCAUGCACGGGACCUGCCCGGAGACCUCAGGCGGCCUUCUGAUCUGUUUACCAUGUGAGCAAGCAGCUUGGUUCUGUGCAGAGAUCAAGUCCCCCAAACAUGCUGAAGGCCACCAAGCAUGGAUUAUUGGGAUUGUAGAGAAGGGCAACCGCACAGCCAGAAUCAUAGACAAAUCCCGGAUCAUCGAGGUCGCACCGCAAGUGGCCACUCAAAAUGUGAAUCCCACACCGGGGGCCACUUCUUAAUCUAGACAGAAAUAGCUGUUUGGUUUUGUUUUUAAAUAGCUCUAUUUCCUUUAUCAUCACUUCAAUUAAAGACUAUAAACAACAAAAAUCUCAUUGUGUCUACACAUUGGGUGACCUUAGGUUGGUUUGUAAGUGGAUACAAUUAAUAAAAUAAAAUCCAUUGCCUUUUCUUCCUGUUACAUUAACUGAAGAUGCACCUAAUCUUGAGGCAGCUUCUGAGUUGAGAAUUAUAUUGUUAUCCAAUACUGUUGAUUCAUUUUGAAUCUUUAGACACUUAUCUCUUGCCACAUAGGCUCUUUUUAAAGGUGCUUUCACAUAGCACAGACAUUACCAAUAGUCAUGUCAGAUAGCAGUUGGUGUCUUUUCAUUUUGUGUAUAUUUAUCAUAUAAAUCCGAUUUUUUUUUAAGUGUCUUGAAUGGUUUUCUGGAGAGACGGCAUUGGUAAGUGGCACAUGACGGUGUACCAGUCGUAAGAGGGUUGCAUGAUUCCUUUGAGUCUUUGGUUUGGAAAGCCUAGUCUUGUCUCUCAAGAGCAUCUUGGACCCAGGACAUUCUCCAGUAGUGCAUUCAGUUCAACACAGCAAGUGCUUCACUGCAUGGAAAACACUUUGAAGACAAAAAAGAAAUCUUGUUUCUUUUUUUGUAGCCUUCCUGAUAUUUACAGUAAUACCAUUAACUGUUUUCUUUAUCAAUAGCAAAAAAGGAUACUUUUUGCAAUGUAAUUAGAUGUUCUAUAGUGCUACGAGGAAUUGCCUUCCAAAAGGAGGUUUGUGUAUGAUACUCAUUUACAAUUCAAUAUAUAAUUAACUACACAAAUAAUUUUUAAAUAUGAUCAAUAAUAAAGACUCUUCUGUGGGAAAAAAAAAAA